AGAACUCAUGGGACCAGGACUUAUGC
rnacentral:piRNA from 1 species